rnacentral:lncRNA from 1 species
AAGGUGCUUUCCGAUGAACUAUCCAGUUGCUGCCCUUUACUGAUAACCGAGGUUUUCAGUAGCGUCGUGUUCUUUGUUUCGUGCACGAAUCCAGGCAAUACUCCAUCUCCGAUAUCUAUUUCGUUUGAGAAUAUUGAAAUCGAGACUGGAUUGUAAGUGAACACGAGCUUUUUGUUAGGGUUUCUAGUGGAAACGUUGAGAUCGAACUUCGAAUUCAGGAGUGAAGAGGAAGUGAUGUUGAACUGAGAGAGUUUCACGGCGGAGACGGAGAAGGAAGGUCGGUGAGGGCGGUAGAUUAGGUAAACGACGGCGGAAG